ensembl:lncRNA
CCCCCCUCCCCUCCCUCCCUUUCUCUCCCUUCCUUCCCCUCCUCUCCUCUUCCCUCUCCUCUCCUCUCCUCCCCUCCCCACCCUCCCCUCUCCUCCCCUCUUCCCUUUCUUCCUGCAGUAGGAACAGAAAUGUUCCGCCCUGCGCUCCACACUGUAAGGGGAAUCCUGGCUUCUGUGAGUGGCUGCUGGGAGAGGAGGAGGCUGCUCCCGAGCGGCUGUCUGGGGGAUCCUGCAGCUUCCCGUGGCAUUGCUUCGGGGCAUCUGUGUUGCGCUUCUACAGCCUCGAUGGCUUUGCCCCCAGCCUCACCGCUGGUGUAAAUGGACCGUCUUACUGUGUUGUAAGUGGCGACUGAGCGCUCCCUCUGAGUCGAUAAUCUCAGGGUAGAUCGGAAGGCAGGAUUCUGGCCACAAUAAAGCACUAACAAGCCCCGGGAACUGCUUGCCACUGCUUUUUCAAGCUGAAAUGGCCUUGUUUGUACCAAACACCUAGAGACAGGGGCACACACAUUUUAAGCUUGAAUUACAAAGAAGAGAGAGCUACAGUUUCAUAAACAUACUUAGAAAUGUCGGAGAAGUUCAAACAUAAAUCCAACAGAAGCAGAACACAGAAAUAGAUAGAUAAAGCCCCCUCCCCCAACCAGCUGAGGGUGCUGUACCUGGAGUUCUAAGUUCCAGCUGAAGCACAGUGGAUGUAAAGAAGUCGCCCAGGCAACGAAGCUCCCGGCACGUCCUGGACCUUGUAAAUGGCAGCUCACACCGCAGACAGCAGCCAGCUCGGACGGGCGCUGUGCUGUCCAGCACAGGAGGCUCUCUGAAGAUGGGGCGAUGAGGGGCUCAGACUGCCCUGUCCCCAGGCUCGGUCCAGCUCCCCGACUCGGUCCUUGUCACCUCCCAGGGUUGGGAGCUCCCCGCGGCAGGAGCUCUGGGUGCCCUGCCUGGCCGCAGGCAGGGCUCCUCCUGAGAAAGCACCGGCUCUCCUCCCCGGGGCCGCGGCUCAGGCAGCCAGGGCCCAGCUGCAGAAGCUCCUCAAGAAGGUGCUCCUCUCAUGCUUGUGAUGCACGGCCUCCUGGCAGCCCCUCUGUGAGCAGGAGGAACACUAGGUGCAUGGGGCAACGCCGAGGACCAGGAGAGAACGUGAAGAGGGCAACAGAGCCUGGGCCUUUGGGUCUUGAACAAGUUACCAGUCGUGGAGCUGUGGCCUUCCUCUCAAGGAUAAGAAUUAAAGCUAUAGAUCUGUGGGCUAGAUUUAAUUUUUUAACAUUCUUUACUAGGAAAGGGAGGGAGGGAGGGAGAGAGAGAGAGAGAGGAAUCUUCUAUCCACUGGUUCACUCUCCAAAUGUCUGCAACAGCCAGGGCUGGACCAGCCCAAAGCCAGGAGCCAGAUCUCCAUCUACGUCUCCCACGAGGGUAGCAGGGACCCAAAUUCUUGAACCAUCACCCACUGCCUCCCAGGGUGCACAUUUGCAGGGAGCUGGAUCAAAGUAGAAUGGGCACUGGAGCCCAGGCACUCCAGUAUGGCGCUUGGGCAUCAUCUCAAUCAAUCGUGUCUUGAUUAUCAAGCCAAACACCUGUCCCCAGGGAGCUGGCUUUUACCAGCUCUACCACAGCAGGCUUUCAAAAGGACCCUACCUUUGUGGGCAGGUGCUUCUCCCUGCUGGUGGUGAGCCAGAGGAUCCUCUGAGGGGAUCUGAGCCUUCAAAACUACUUAUAAUAGUAUCUGUAUUUUUUAAAUACUAUUUAUCUAUUUGAGAGGGGUGGGGAGGAAGGGAAGGAGAGAGGGAGGGAGGGAGGGAUGGACAGAGAGUGGGAGAGAGAGAGACAGAAGAGAGAGAGCUGGUUCCCGACUGGGGCUGGAGCCAGGAGCCAGGAGACAGGAACGCAGUCCAGGUCUCCCAUGAGGGUGCAGACUCAGUUACUGGAGCCGUCACUGCCGCCUCCCUGGUCUGUGGUGGCAGCAAGUCGGAGUCGGGGGCUGGAGCUGGCAUUGACCCCAGGGUCUGUCAUGUGGGAGUCCUGACCCCUAGGCCAGGGCCCACUCCCUUGCUAAGAUGACGGCACCGUUUGCCUUGUCUUGUUGCUUUCCAUGUGACACAGAUGGGUUCACCCAAGGCUGGCUCACGUGUGGAAUCACACUAGCCACAGGCAGGUGCAGGCGGGGGGAUCAGCCCCUCUGAUACAGCGAGAGGGUUGGGACAUUUGUUUACGAGGUCACACAGGGCCAUCAAGCGUUCCUGCUUUCGUCUCCAAAUAGGUAUGUUACUUGUGUUACUGCGUGCUGUGAUGUUGCUACUGGGUGAUUCUUGCAAGUUAGUAGCGAAGUGUUUUUCCCUAAGCUCUAGUUUCUGACACCCAUCAGUAGAAAUAACUCACAGAAACAGGAACUUUCUGGAGUCAUCACUUUUUUUAAGGGUGUACUGAGACCAAACUACUUGAGAAUCAGCGAGACAUUCAGUUUUUUUAAAAAGAUUUAUUUAUUAUUUUGAAA